AUCAGGUCGCUGCAGGCGGCCAGGCCGCGCCCCUGGCGAAUUCGGUCCGGCGUCCGUCGAUAACCGGGCGCCACG
rnacentral:ncRNA from 1 species